AUUGAACGCUGGCGGAAUGCUUUACACAUGCAAGUCGAACGGCAGCACGGGAGCUUGCUCCUGGUGGCGAGUGGCGAACGGGUGAGUAACAUAUCGGAACGUACCCAGUCGUGGGGGAUAACUAUCCGAAAGGAUAGCUAAUACCGCAUACGUCCUGAGGGAGAAAGCGGGGGAUCGCAAGACCUCGCGCGAUUGGAGCGGCCGAUAUCGGAUUAGCUAGUUGGUGGGGUAAAGGCUCACCAAGGCGACGAUCCGUAGCGGGUCUGAGAGGACGACCCGCCACACUGGAACUGAGACACGGUCCAGACUCCUACGGGAGGCAGCAGUGGGGAAUUUUGGACAAUGGGGGCAACCCUGAUCCAGCCAUUCCGCGUGAGUGAAGAAGGCCUUCGGGUUGUAAAGCUCUUUCAGCAGGAACGAAACGGUCGGCUUUAAUAAAGUCGGCUAACGACGGUACCUGCAGAAGAAGCACCGGCUAACUACGUG
rnacentral:rRNA from 1 species